rnacentral:rRNA from 1 species
UAGUCUGCAACUCGACUACAUGAAGCUGGAAUCGCUAGUAAUCGCGAAUCAGAAUGUCGCGGUGAAUACGUUCCCGGGUCUUGUACACACCGCCCGUCACACCAUGGGAGUCGGAUAUGCCCGAAGUCAGUGACCCAACCAUAUGGAGGGAGCUGCCGAAGGUGGAGCCGAUAACUGGGGUGAAGUCGUAACAAGGUAGC